rnacentral:rRNA from 1 species
AGGCCGAGAGCUGAUGACGAGUCGUCUUUUAGAUGACGAAGUGGUUGAUGCCAUGCUUCCAAGAAAAGCUUCUAAGCUUCAGGUAACCAGGAACCGUACCCCAAACCGACACAGGUGGUCGGGUAGAGAAUACCAAGGCGCUUGAGAGAACUCGGGUGAAGGAACUAGGCAAAAUGGCACCGUAACUUCGGGAGAAGGUGCGCCGGCUAGGGUGAAGGAUUUACUCCGUAAGCUCUGGCUGGUCGAAGAUACCAGGCCGCUGCGACUGUUUAUUAAAAACACAGCACUCUGCAGACACGAAAGUGGACGUAUAGGGUGUGACGCCUGCCCGGUGCCGGAAGGUUAAUUGAUGGGGUUAGCGCAAGCGAAGCUCUUGAUCGAAGCCCCGGUAAACGGCGGCCGUAACGAUAACGGUCCUAAGGUAGCGAAAUUCCUUGUCGGGUAAGUUCCGACCUGCACGAAUGGCGUAACGAUGGCGGCGCUGUCUCCACCCGAGACUCAGUGAAAUUGAAAUCGCUGUGAAGAUGCAGUGUAUCCGCGGCUAGACGGAAAGACCCCGUGAACCUUUACUGUAGCUUUGCACUGGACUUUGAGCCUGCUUGUGUAGGAUAGGUGGGAGGCUUUGAAGCGUGGACGCCAGUUCGCGUGGAGCCAUCCUUGAAAUACCACCCUGGCAUGCUUGAGGUUCUAACUCUGGUCCGUAAUCCGGAUCGAGGACAGUGUAUGGUGGGCAGUUUGACUGGGGCGGUCUCCUCCUAAAGAGUAACGGAGGAGUACGAAGGUGCGCUCAGACCGGUCGGAAAUCGGUCGCAGAGUAUAAAGGCAAAAGCGCGCUUGACUGCGAGACAGACACGUCGAGCAGGUACGAAAGUAGGUCUUAGUGAUCCGGUGGUUCUGUAUGGAAGGGCCAUCGCUCAACGGAUAAAAGGUACUCCGGGGAUAACAGGCUGAUACCGCCCAAGAGUUCAUAUCGACGGCGGUGUUUGGCACCUCGAUGUCGGCUCAUCACAUCCUGGGGCUGAAGCCGGUCCCAAGGGUAUGGCUGUUCGCCAUUUAAAGUGGUACGCGAGCUGGGUUUAGAACGUCGUGAGACAGUUCGGUCCCUAUCUGCCGUGGACGUUUGAGAUUUGAGAGGGGCUGCUCCUAGUACGAGAGGACCGGAGUGGACGAACCUCUGGUGUUCCGGUUGUCACGCCAGUGGCAUUGCCGGGUAGCUAUGUUCGGAAAAGAUAACCGCUGAAAGCAUCUAAGCGGGAAACUUGCCUCAAGAUGAGAUCGCACUGGGAACUUGAUUCCCCUGAAGGGCCGUCGAAGACUACGACGUUGAUAGGCUGG